UGGAAAGGUGGCAGAGCGGUUUAUUGCACCGGUUUUGAAAACCGACUUAGUUAAAGCUAACGGGGGUUCGAAUCCCUCCCUUUCCGA
rnacentral:tRNA from 1 species